GACGAACCAUGCAAACGUUAUUCGGAUUCACUGGGCUUAAAGCGUGCGUAGGCGGCGAUGUUAGUCAGGUGUGAAAGCCCUCAGCCCAACUGAGGAAUUGCGCUUGAUACUGCAUUGCUAGAGAAUGAUAGAGGUGGGUGGAACUGAUGGUGGAGCGGUGAAAUGCGUAGAUAUAGGAAGGAACACCAGUGGCGAAGGCGACUACCUGGACUGAUACUGACACUGAGGUGCGAAAGCGUGGGGAGCAAACAGGAUUAGAACGUC
rnacentral:rRNA from 1 species